GCCCGCCCCCUUUGCAUCCUCAUGAUUUUCAUUGAGAAUGACUGUUCGUAUCGGUGUGGAAGAAGUGGAGCCAGUGACGGGAGAGGAGGGACCAACCUGAUGUGAUUGUCUACCUCGAGCUAGCCCAUCGAGCAAGUCGUCCUCGUGUGUCUGCCAGUUCGUUUUAAUCGCGAGGUCAGCUAUGGAGGGAGACGGCAACCAAGUCACGUCUGCAAACCCGACCGAGCCACAACACGACCCGGGGAAAAUGUUCAUCGGUGGCCUCAGCUGGCAAACUUCACCAGACAGCCUUAAAGAUUAUUUUAAUACAUUUGGUGAAAUCAGAGAAUCUAUGGUAAUGAGAGACCCAACGACAAAACGCUCCAGGGGCUUUGGCUUCGUCACUUUUGCAGAUUCUGCCAGCGUAGAUAACGUCUUGGCACAGCCGCAUCAUGAGUUAGACUCUAAAAUGAUUGACCCAAAAGUUGCCUUUCCUAGACGUACUCAGCCCAAGGCAGGCGGUUCGACCUUCCGGGGGUUGGCAAGAGCGCUCACGAGGGAUGGAUUAAAGAAAAAGGAAGGAAAGCGAAAAAGACGCACUUCAAGUGCAGGAUGGCCGGAGCGCUGGCAGUGGCAAUGCUUGCCACGCGGUCAGAUGGUAACAAAGAAGAUUUUUGUGGGAGGAUUAUCAGCAAACACAGUAAUUGAAGAUGUGAAGCACUAUUUUGAACAGUUUGGCAAGGUAGAAGAUGCCAUGCUAAUGUUUGACAAAACAACUAACCGACAUAGAGGUUUUGGAUUCGUAUCAUUUGAAAAUGAAGAUCUGGUGGAGAAAGUCUGUGACAUCCAUUUUCACGAAAUCAAUAAUAAAAUGGUAGAAUGCAAAAAAGCGCAACCAAAAGAAGUAAUGUACCCAUCUGGGACACGGGGUCGGGCCAGAUGUCUGCCAUAUACAAUGGAUGCGUUCAUGCUUGGUAUGGGCAUGCUGAGUUAUCCCAACGUUGUAGCCACAUAUGGCAGAGGAUAUGGUAGUUUUGUGCCAAGUUAUGGUUACCAGUUCCCAGCGUUUGCAACAGCAUAUGGACCAGUGACAGCAGCAGUAGCAGCAACACGUGGCUCAGGGAGAGGUGGCAGCUACAUGGCAUACGGGCAGAACACAGGGGCAGGGCUCCCUGAUUAUGGGUUGUGCUCUUUGGCUGGAACCAGCACUGACAUGAGGGGCGGAGCACCCUACUCGGUGACCGACUACGGCUCCCUCAGGCCACAGACGGCAGCUCAGAUGCUACCUAACGAGCAUGCCGGCUCGGGCUGCAAUUCUCCCACCACCCUUCAACACCACCUUCACAGCCCGGACCCUUUUAAGAGCCCAGAUGUAACAAGGCCUGGACUCUUUCCUGGUCCUAGCAGCCCUGGUCAUGGAGCUGACCUCUAUGGUACUGUCACUCAGGACUCCGGUGUCAGCAACUACAUCAGUGCCACAAGCCCUCAGACAGUUCCUGGCUUUAGCCACAGUAUUGCUGGUCCAUUGAUUGCAACAGCUUUUACUAAUGGAUAUCACUGAAAGUCAACAUGUGGCUGGUUGUCGUCUCGUUUCAGGAGCAUAUUUGUCAGGUCACUCACUGAUGUUGGACGAGAAGGCCUGGCUCACUGUCCACUUGAAAUCAACGCAAAGGUAUUCUAUCCGGUUGAGGGCAGGAGUCUCUGCAGGCAAGUCAAGUUCUUCCAUACCAAAUUCUCUCAUCCAUGUCUUUAUGUCCCUUGAUUUGUGCACAGAUGCACAGACAUGUUGGAACAGGUAGCGGUGUUCCCAAACUGUUUGACUGUCCAAACUCUUCUGGUAUGCUGAAGCAUACCUCAACCCUCAACCCUAUAGAACACUUUUGGAUGAAUUAGAGUGGAGACUGAGAGCCAGGCCUUCUCGUUCAACAUCAGUCUGUAACCUCACAAAUGUGUUUCUGGAAGAAUGGUCAAACAUUCCCAUGAACACACUCCUAAACCUUGUGGAAAGCCUUCCUUGAAGUGUUAAAGCUUAUCACUGCAGAGGAUGGACCGAUGUCAUAUCAAACCCUAUGGAUUUGGAAUGGGAUGUCACUCAAGUACAUAUGUGAGUCAAGGCAGAAAUCCAUGUGACUCUGAAACUUGCAGUAUAUCACUAGUUGCAUUGCGGGCCAUGGAAACGGGGGAAGUGUGUUCGGUGAUAUCACCCUGCACUAACCAUUACAGCCUCGGUUUGGCAGCGAACCGGAGCAACGGCGUGGCAAUAUCAUGAAAAUCACCUCAGAAUAAAAGAUGACAUUUUCCUGUACUGUAUAGGCCUUACCUUCAGUUAAGUCUGAUUUCACUCCAAAAUCUUUGUGGGUUGUUUUUUUUUUUUUUUUUAAUCUAAGGUGUGCUUUUUGUAAAAGGUUUUCAAUGUCUAAUACUUAUUGAUUACUUUAAGAAAUACUUUUGGAUUAUGUGGGUUUUUUUAAUAUAAAUGUGUGCUUGUUUUUCUUUUGAUGUGUCACCGAUCUCCAAAGGGGGUAAUGUCAGAACAGGUUUAAAAACCAUUGCAUGAAGAUGAAUCCAUGAAGAGACUGGUGGGCGAAAGGGUCUCUUUGAAAGGUGGUUUGACACUGGAGAUAAUACUGGUUCAACUCAACUUUAUUUAUAGAGCACUUAAAAACAAACACCACAAGACAUACCGUAUACAUACUUCACAGUGUGGUCACCAGACGUCAUGGACUUGAUUUAGGCAAUAAGAGGACAAUAAUAAUUUCACAGUGCUGUUUUUUAAGACAAUUUGCUGCUGUGUGGAAAAGAAGAUAUAUUUUCUUUAUUGAUUUAGAAGGGACCGUGUGAUCUCAGAAUGUAAAUACUCCCUUUUAUUUUAAACUAAGAUCGCUGUUUUCCACCUGAGGCUGUUUACCCACGUUAAUUGACUGCAUGCACAGUUGGAUUUAAUCUGACACAGUCACAGAAUGAUGAGAUUCCUCUCUCAGUUAGCCUGCGACCGUGACACUGGAAAUCGACAACAUGGAAGUCCAAAACAAGCAUUAAGGCAAAAUCUGCUACUGUAUGUAUUCCUAUGAUACUUUGUAACUGUCUCUACACAUUACCAGUAGUUCAUAUCUCAGGCUCAGUCCUGUACGUUGCUACCUGGCUAAUGAAAUGCAUUUGGUAUACAGUGAUUAGAAAGUUUCAGAGCAAUUUGCUGUAAUUUGCACAAUUUAAGAUUCUUUAAUGAGAUUCAAUGAUGUGAAGGCUUGUCAUUAAAUGUUUAACCAAACCUCUAUUUAAAUUGAUAAAGCUAUUCAUUACCAGAUAGAUUAUGGUAAACGUUUUAUUUAUUUUUGUAAAUAUGAAAAUGCAAUGAAAUGAGAAACAUUGUUCAAACCAGCAAGUUUCAAAUGCUUUAUGCAUGGAUGUACAGUAUAUGUACACUAAUUUAUAUGUACACUAGUUAACAAUUUGACCUAAUGAAAAUAUUUACGACUUACUUCAUUAAACCUUGUGAAUUUCAA